rnacentral:lncRNA from 10 species
GAGUAGGCCGCCACCGCCACCGCCACCGCCACCACUGCCAGAAUCGCCUCUCGGGGGUCGCCGGGUGUCUCCCACUCCCCCGGCCUCGGGACGGGGCCCGCAGUCCGCAGCCUCUCCCGUGGAAACCGGGCCUCCCGUCCCUGUGCGUCGCGAGCGGGCUCCGGACAGCGCCAGAUGCGAGCGCGCCGGGAAGGGCUGCGAAGACUCGCUCUUCGGGAGCUCGAAUGGCUUCUUAGGACCCCGCAGGGCGGGUUUCCAGGCCUGCCACGGCCUCCAGUGUGGGCGUGACGAGCGCUCCUCCCUGGAGUUCAGCCCUCGGCUUGGGACUGCCCGCUGGGUUGCUCGGAGGCCCCGGAGCAUCGGAAAGGGCGGCUGGAGGCUCCCGGAGCGGGCUCAGCCUGGGAGCCCAGCGACUACGCUCUGAAAUCCCGGGCUCCAUUCCAUAUUUUUUGGCGUUUUUAGAAGAUGGUCACGGCCCACUUUCGCUUUUCAGAGGACCGGAAAGCCUUAACAGGGAGUUUUGAGGAAUCACUAAGGUAAUUCAAUUUCAUUGAGUUCAGAGUUCAUCUUUACCAAGCAGGUUCAAAACAAAUAAAUAACGCAAACAACUCAGCUUUAUUAAGGUCUCAUUCACGUACUAUACCAUACAAUUCCCGAUUUAACGUGCGUAAUAGGCCGGGCGAGGUAGCUCGCGCCUGUAAUCCCCGACCUUUGGGAGGCUGAGGCGG